rnacentral:rRNA from 1 species
AUAUCAGUCAUGCAUAGCAUAUCAAUAAGCGGAGGAAAAGAAACUAACAAGGAUUCCCUUAGUAACGGCGAGUGAAGCGGGAAGAGCUCAAAUUUGAAAUCUUCAAGGUUUUACCUUGACGAAUUGUAGUUUAAAGAAGUGUUUUCUGUUGAAGUUUUGGUAAAAGUUCUUUGGAAUAGGACAUCAUAGAGGGUGAGAAUCCCGUAUUUGACCAUUACUUUCAGCUUUGUGAUACACUUUCAAAGAGUCGGAUUGUUUGGGAAUGCAGUCCAAAAUGGGUGGUAAAUUUCAUCUAAAGCUAAAUAUUGGCGAGAGACCGAUAGCGAACAAGUACCGUGAGGGAAAGAUGAAAAGAACUUUGAAAAGAGAGUUAAACAGUACGUGAAAUUGUCAAAAGGGAAGCGUUUGACACCAGUGUUGUCUUCUCGAAAAUCAAUUAAAAAGAGUUGGAUUUUGUGUUGUAUUGACUUUAUCAGCUUUCUUCACUCUUUUCCAGCUUUUUUUAAUGCACUUUUCGUUUAACAAGUCAACAUCAGUUUCUUUUGUUGUAAAAAGGUCAUUGGAAGGUGGCUUUCUCUUCGGAGAAAGUGUUUAUAGCCUUUGACUCAUGCAAUCGGAGAGACUGAGGUCUGCAGCGUAGAUCCUUCGGGGUUAGAUACAUUUGUGCUAAGUUAUAGCUUUUCAUAGACAACUUGUUGACUAUGUUUAGUCUUGUAGCUUACUCGCUUAUGCUAUUUUACCUACGCUUAGGAUGUUGAACUCUAUCACACACA